rnacentral:rRNA from 1 species
GACGAACGCUGGCGGCGUGCCUAAUACAUGCAAGUCGAGCGAAGCUGCUGAUGGGUGAGUAACGCGUGGGUAACCUGCCCUUAAGUCUGGGAUACCAUUUUGCAGCAGAUUCUAAUACCGGAUACUAAAGGAUGGACCUGAGAGGCAUUAGCUAGUUGGUAAGGUAACGGCUUACCAAGGCGAUGAUGCAUAGCCGGGGUGAGAGACUGAUCGGCCACAUUGGGACUGAGACACGGCCCAAACUCCUACGGGAGGCAGCAGUGGGGAAUCUUCCACAAUGGACGAAAGUCUGAUGGAGCAACGCCGCGUGAGUGAAGAAGGUUUUCGGAUCGUAAAGCUCUGUUGUUGGUGAAGCGGUAAUCAACCAGAAAGUAACGGCUAACUACGUGCCAGCAGCCGCGGUAAUAC